UGGCUGUUCGCCAUUUAAAGUGGUACGCGAGCUGGGUUUAGAACGUCGUGAGACAGUUCGGUCCCUAUCUGGUGUGGGCGUUGGAUGAUUGAGGGGAGCUGCUCCUAGUACGAGAGGACCGGAGUGGACGUACCUCUGGUGUUCCGGUUGUCACGCCAGUGGCAUUGCCGGGUAGCUAUGUACGGAAAGGAUAACCGCUGAAAGCAUCUAAGCGGGAAGCCUGUCCCAAGAUUAGGUUUCACUGGACUUCGAGUCCCAGUAGGGCCCUGGAAGAAUACCAGGUUGAUAGGCUGGAUGUGGACGCUCAGUAAUGAGUGAAGCUAACCAGUACUAAUUGCCCGUGAGGCUUGACCAU
rnacentral:rRNA from 1 species